rnacentral:rRNA from 1 species
CUUGAACGCUGGCGGAAUGCUUUACACAUGCAAGUCGAGCGGCAGCGCGGGGCAACCUGGCGGCGAGCGGCGAACGGGUGAGUAAUGCAUCGGAACAUGUCCAUUCGUGGGGGAUAGCCCGGCGAAAGCCGGAUUAAUACCGCAUACGCCCUGAGGGGGAAAGUGGGGGACCGCAAGGCCUCACGCGAUUGGGUUGGCCGAUGUCCGAUUAGCUAGUUGGCGGGGUAAAGGCCCACCAAGGCGAUGAUCGGUAGCUGGUCUGAGAGGAUGAUCAGCCACACUGGGACUGAGACACGGCCCAGACUCCUACGGGAGGCAGCAGUGGGGAAUUUUGGACAAUGGGGGAAACCCUGAUCCAGCCAUUCCGCGUGAGUGAAGAAGGCCUCGGUUGUAAG